CUUGAUCGAACCCAGCCACAGCGGCCGGUCGCGGUCCUGGCCGUAGGUGGCCAGCAAUGCCUGUGCCUC
rnacentral:antisense_RNA from 1 species